AUACGUAGGGGGCAAGCGUUGUCCGGAGUGACUGGGCGUAAAGGGCGCGUAGGCGGCUAAAAAAGUCAGGUGUAAAAGGCACCGGCUCAACCGGUGAUAAGCAGCUGAAACUAGGUAGCUAGAGUACAGGAGAGGAGAUCGGAAUUCCUGGUGUAGCGGUGAAAUGCGUAGAUAUCAGGAAGAACACCAGUGGCGAAGGCGGAUCUCUGGACUGGGACUGACGCUGAGGCGCGAAAGCGUGGGUAGCAAACAGGAGUAGAUACCCUGGUAGUCCACGCCGUAAACGGUGGAUACUAGGUGUAGGCGAGAAAGCGUCUGUGCCGGAGUCAACGCAGUAAGUAUCCCGCCUGGGGAGUACGGCCGCAAGGCUGAA
rnacentral:rRNA from 1 species